rnacentral:lncRNA from 1 species
UGGGUGGCGGCUCAGAGUGUCUUCUAUCACUUGUAUAAUCAGGUAUCAUACAUGUCCCUGGAUCAGAUCUCUCCCUUGACGUUUAGCAUAGGAAACACGAUGAAGCGGAUUUCUGUCAUAGUCUCCUCCAUAAUCAUCUUCCAUACACCUGUUCAACCCAUCAAUGCCCUUGGAGCUGCCAUUGCAAUCCUUGGAACGUUUCUCUAUUCGCAGGUAAAUUCUUAUCCCUUUGAUUUGAGUUUAACAGCACAGAAUUCUCUUAUUAUUAUUAUUGUAUUUUUUUGGGUGCGGGGACCAAAAUGCCUAGUCAUAAAUGCAGACAACUUGCUCUCUGUUGGCAUUAUUUCUAUGCCAUUUGUUUUGUGGCAGCAAAAAGGAAAAAGGAAAACUAAAAAUGAAAAUGCAGAACAGUGAGCGAUAGUAGAGGUCCAAAUUAAUUAUCUUUCUUGACAGCCAUUUUUCCCUUGUUACCUUGGGGAGUGUGAGUUCUGCAAGCAUUUAGUUUUAAGAGGCAUAGAUUCAAUCAUACAACUGAUACAAGGCAGGAAAAUUUCAAUACAAUUUACCUUCUUUUACUUGUUUAAUUUAAUAAAAAAAAAUUUGUCCAGCCCAAUAAUGUAACCAUUGCCCUUGCAAUAUCAGCAUUAUUGUGCGUACCAUGUGGACUCCACAGAUACUGAAAUUUUGAAGGCAGUGGUACUAGAGUUCCUCGACAUGCAUAUGCUGCCCUAUGAAAUUAAUGCUAAUGCAAAUUCAUGUAACUGUAUGGUUGAAUGGAUAGAGACCCAUGUUUCAUAUUCUGCCUUUCUUUAUUCUUAUGAUCAUAUGAUUAUUUUCUCUGCUUAAACUAUCUGUUAAUGGUUUUCCAUAUUCAUGUUAGAAGAGUUGAAACCCUUCAUCCAAAUGAUAAGGCACCAUUUGACAAUAUGCCUUUUGAUGGGGACACCCUCUACUUUUGAACGCAACCUUUGCAAACACUGAAUAGACACUGAUCACUGGAUAUGGUGAUAGUUGGACUUGGCUGUGGAGGAGUUUAACGUAAUACUGUGGGGAUGAAAACUCAUAGGAAGAUGGUGAUAGUCGUAAAGGACCUUUGUUCUGUAUUUAAUUAUUAAUUUUUGUGGCUUAUUUAUUUGGACGAGGUUUUAAAACUCAUAGGAAGAUGCCAGUUUACCAACUGUAUUUAUAGUGUUUCUUUUCUUUUUGCAUACCAAAUGAUAAAACUUAUUUUAUGAUACCAAAUCAGCUCUAGUUGAAGCUUGAAUGGCUGCUGAUGGAAAUAUUCAUUUCUAUUCGUUUUUGAGCAGGCAAAGCAGUGAGGAGACCAAGUAACUUGGAAUUUCCCAAGCGAUGUAGAUGAUGAGAUAGAUACACUGAGGAGUCAAUUUGGCUGGAAGCAUGGUUAUCAGCUGAUUCAGCUCUGCGGGUUUUUAUCAUCAAGAUCAUAAUAAUAUUUCGGUGAAUAUCAUCGUA